UAGAGGAACCUUUGGUUUUCUGAUUGCCACAAUGGUUUAACUGAAGCAAAUUAUUAGUCAAAACAGAGAGAACAGUGUUAAAUUUGAUCAUAAAGAUGAAAGAUACUGUUGCUCACAGACUUGUAACUAAGGAAAUUUUGGAGCAUAUCCAUGCCAUGUGAUCAUAUAAUUUUACUAUCAAAUAUAUAACUUGGAUGAUUAUAUUCUUAAUAACUUUUUUUUUAAGUUAACAUCUCUUGUUUCAAGUUUGUGUGGUCCUUUGAUUGAUCAAAUUGGUAUAGUGUUGUAAAAGCAUUUAAUGUGGUGUAGAUUGAUUGCCUUCUAGCUCUGCUUGUGGAGGACGCAUCUCAGGCUGAGAAAUCCAACCAAUCCUUUCCAUUGACUAUUGUGUUUGUGGAGAGGAAGGUAUGCCUCAUACUAUAUGUUUUCAUGUACUUUAAGCCAUGUUUUUUCGGUUCUUAUUUAUGCUUCAUUCUUGUAAGUUUCUUAUGUAAAGUUGUAAUACUUGAAUAUGGUUUGAAUGUAGACAAGGUGCAAUGAAGUUGCUGAAGCUUUGGUAGCACAAGGUUUACAGGCAGUUGCUCUUCAUGGAGGCCGCAGUCAGAGUGAAAGAGAAGCUGCUUUGCACAGUUUCCGCGUGUGUUUUAACAACGGUAGCCAGGCAUUUGGAGAUAGGNNNNNNNNNNNNNNNNNNNNNNNNNNNNNNNNNNNNNNNNNNNNNNNNNNNNNNNNNNNNNNNNNNNNNNNNNNNNNNNNNNNNNNNNNNNNNNNNNNNNGAAAAAGUUCUUUCCUUGUGUACGGUAGAUUUAUGUAUACUGUUUACUUCCAUCUUCUGUUUUCUUCCUUUAAUUUCAUCUUUUACAAAUUUGACAUGUCUAUGUUGCUUAUAGUGAUCUCCAUGUGCAGGUUGCCACUGAUGUUGCAUCUCGUGGAUUGGAUGUAACUGGAGUUGCUCAUGUGAUUAAUCUGGAUCUCCCAAAGGUAUUUUCAGUGGAAAUUUUUUUGGUCAUAUAAUGUUAGAUGACUGCAAUGACAGCUUGGAAGUAUUUCAUUCAUUAUUCUGUUGCAAAAAAAAUGGACAUUCUACUUGGUUUGUGGAUUGCCAGCAAUUCUAGCAGUUCACAAUAUCAUCGGUAGUGAUCUUGAUUAUAGAAUCAUCCUGCAAUGUAAAUCUCAGCUUGUGUUGAGGCUAACCAGAACCAUGCCUUGAGGUACAUCAUGGCCUCUAUCCCAGCUUAUGGUCAUGAAGUCUUUGUGCUGCAUGUUCUUAGCAUCAAAUUAGCCUGGCCAUUUUCAGUUGCUAUUAAUUUCCUUCUGAAGUAGCAAACCUGAAUCUUCAGUUAUGGCUGCCUCAAUUAUAGACAAUGGAAGAUUAUGUGCAUCGUAUUGGAAGGACAGGCCGUGCAGGGUCAACUGGCCAAGCUACUUCAUUUUACACUGAUCGAGAUCUGGUACCGCCUUCACCUUAUCUGUCUACUUAUUGCUAAUGCUCCCUUCUAUUCGUGUAUUUGCCAGCUCUUCAAUUCUUGACUGCUGUGCCUUACUGUAGUUCCUUGUGGCACAAAUAAAGAAAGCAAUAGCAGAUGUCGAAUCGGGGAACACAGUUGCUUUUGCAACUGGCAAGGUAUUAAUUUUCUUUCUAGUAUGCAUUAAUAAUUUCUUUUAACAUGAUAUAUGUGGAUUAGUUGUACUUUUUUCACCCCACAUUUUCUGCUCCACAACUUUCUCUGUGCGAACCUGGCAGUGCAGUGAGAUUGCUAUGAAGCAGUAAUUCUAGCUUGAAGGACUCUUCACUUUGAAAUCUUUAAUAUUUCUUAUAUUUCUACUGAACUUAGUACUGUUUGACCUUUAGGCUGCAAGAAGGAAGGAAAGAGAAGCAGCUGCUUCACAAAAGGAAGCUAGGAAUGCUCUGUCCAAGGUGAUGGGAUCCACAUGUAUAAACAUUGAGGAUAAGUAUAGGUUCAUGAUAGCCCCUUCAGUCAUCACAAGUGAGGGUGCAGCUGACAGUGCCUGGGAUGAUUAGUUGAGGAUCUAUUCAGUGCCUUUUUAAGGAGCAUUGAUGAUCCAUGCUCAAGAUUCAAGGUUAGUGAGGUCUUGUCACUUCAUCAUCUUGGUGUGUAUGCGCUAGGGUUUGCCUGCAUGAGUGCAUGUUUUGUGCACCAUUGCCCAACUUGUGCUGAUGAAAAAAGAUGAAUGUGUAGGUGUGCACUUCCUGAUUUAGGCUUGGAAGUGAGAGACGUGGAGUUGCGCGUGGCCUGUUCCCUCUCCAAAUAUCAUUAAGGCCAAAUCUCAUUGUGCCUUGACGCAAGCAGCUGUAGAGGACAGGUAGAGUGAUCCUAAAACAGCAAGUAGCAUUGCAUAUAGAUUGUGCAUAUUGUAUGUAUUCAGAAUGCUCUAUUGAAUUGUGAUGUGAUGUUUCAAUGGUUACUUAAUUACCCCUAAUCAAUCUGAUUCAAUGUUUAUAUUGAACGGAUGCAAAUGCGAUUGCAUGUUCUGAUAUAUUAUAUUUUUAUAUUUGGUUAUGUAAUUUUUAAGAUUAUAAUGAAACGAAGGAUUGUAAUUGUAAUGAUUCAUUACACUACAAGUAUUAUGUAUUUAUAAGCUAUGUAAUGAAUACUUAAUGAGUAAUCAUGCAAGGAUGUAAUUGUAGAAAGGGUUCUCAUUGGAGGGCGAGAUUGUAAUUUUUAUAAAGUACAAGGACCAGAAAAUUUAAAAGAAGAAUUAAUUUGUAAAUUAAAAUAAAACAUGGGGUGGUCUAAAAUAAUUCUUUUUAGAAACCACAAGGACUGAAAUAAAAUAUCAUAAAGACUCCUUUACAUGACUAAAAGCCUUGCCGACAAAUAAAAUAAUCUUUUUCAUUGCAUCACAUGGAAUAAAAACAAGGUUUGAAAAGCCAAAACAAUAGCUUGUGGGCGUGAAAUGAGAGUGUGUUUAGCUUUGUGGUUGUGAUCUGAAAAGGCAGGCUUAAAAGAAGUCAUAAAGUUUUCAAGCGAGUCUAGCCUUUUCACUGCUCAAUCACACCGCACACUGUUGGUAAUUGCUUGGUGCUUCCCAUUCUGCUCGGAAAGUGAAAAGCCUAACACUCCACCACUCAUGGCUGCCAACAUUUCUUUCUCUUUACUGUGUCUACCUAGUAGAAGAGCUUUCUAGUGGCUUUUUGCUGUAUGAUUUCUUUUUCUUUGCUAUUCCUUUGAUGAGUCUAAUCGGGGACAGCGUUGUCGAAUUUGAAGAAGGGAAUGAGUAUUGUAGAAGUUGAUGCCUCCUUCCACCUUUCGUUAAUACUAGAAAAUCUCUAAUACCGUGUCAACCAGGAUAAGAAGAGGUAAUACAGUGAUACCUACUAGUGACGUUGACGAAAACAAUACAAAGAAAUAUAAUAAAUAUUAAAGAUUGGGUAGAAAUUUUGCAGAAAAAGAAAAGCUUUCAUUUCUUCUAUUCGAAGUACAGGUAAAUUAAGACAAACCCAUUUAAACACCGGCAAAGAAACAUUGCUGUCAGGAAUAGGUUCGGUAAGAGUCUGACUGCAAGAAUCCUCAUCUAGUUUUAUGUUCGAGGAAUUAUUUUUAUGGCCUCAAGAACCCCCAAUACAUAAGUUCUUCUUGUGAUGUUUGCUAUACAGACCGCAGAAAUGCCACAGGACUACUAACCAACAAUGGUAAACCCGGGCAUCACUCAGCUCAAACAUGAGGCAUGGCAGAAAAAAGAAAAUACAUUAUUACACUACUGAGUACCAGACUGGGCUCGCACUCGCACUGCAGCACUAUCAGAUUUGCAGUUGAGUUGCAGCCACAACCUAACUUUAUGUUGCCAAAACUGGAACUCCCUUGUGCCCCGCAAAAGCCUGUCGUAGAGUAUGAUAACUGUUCCUGUAAUGUUCAAGAGUGAGACACAGUUGCCUUAUUGCCUCCCGUUUCUCUUCUGCUCCUUCCAGGAUUAAAAUUCUUUGCCUCUCAACUUCUCCCUCCAAAUCCUUAGCUUUUGAUCUUAACUCGUCCAUUAGUUUACGUGCCUCUUCUGCCCCGGCAAGUAGCUUCACAUGCUCCAUGCGUAAUUGUUGCAGAUGCUUAUCCAUUUGAUUGACCGGGUUGUCUCUAGAAGUUACCUCUGCUUUAAGUGUAAUAGCUUUCUCAUUAAGCUCAUCUCUCUCAGAUUUUAUGCGACUGUCUCGCUCAGCAGUGUCUUCCUUUAACUUCUGAAUUUCACGUUCAAGUGUUUCCUGCAUUUCUGCCUUCUCAGCCUGGAACAUCCUAAUACCAUCCUCUAAAGAACGGCAACGUGAUUCCUGUUCUUUCAGCCGCUCCUCCAAGCAUGUCCCCUCCUCUAUCAAUUUAGAUAUUUCAGCCUUGAUCUGUGCCUUUUCUGGAAAAAUCUUCAGCUCAGCAUCAGACACUGCUAGUUUAAGAUCUCUCACCUCACUAUCCCGGUCUGACAGAUUAGUUUUCAGCCUGGCAGUUCUUUCUUGCAGCUUGGAGACCUCCCUUUUUUCUGCGUUGAGCUUGUUUUUCAACGUAUUUAUCUCCUUGUGAGCCAACGCAAGUUGAUCUUGCAAAUUAUUGAUUUUUUCAGAUGGUCCACCACCCUCAAGUUGUUUUUUCAAAGUAGUUAUUUCUUUCUCUGAAACAUGAAGCCUCUCUUUAGCAAUCCUGAGUUCUUCCAUUAGUGCUUGAAUCUUAACAUUGGAGUCCAAAGUUUCAGCUUCCGACCCACCAAUCCUUUGUUGAAGAUGAGAAGCUUGAUUUACCUCAAAUUCCAGCUCAACCUCCCUGGUUGUGACCUUGCUCUCAGCUGGCGAUGCGAACUCAGACUGCAAACCAUCAGAGACUUCAGAUGACCUACAUUUUUGAAGCUCAGUAUUCAAUCGAGUAACCUCUUCUUCUGACAGCCGUAACUCCUCAUUUGCAAUUGUCAGAUCUCGCUCACACCCUGUAAUUUCUGCAAGAACAUCCUCAGAAUCUUCAUUUCUGACGCCCCUAAAUGAGCCAUCAACACUCUCAUCUUGCUGCAUCCGUAGCUUUUCUUUUGUUUCACGAAGCUCAUUUUCUAAAUCAAUUAUUCUCCGGGACAGUCCUUGGUCACCACUAUUCCCAGAUAGACCUGAGUAAUUGUUUACUGAAGAAUCAUCAGAUUCUGAUUCUGAAUCCGUCAACGUGGAUAAUUCGUCUACUUCUUUAUGGUGAUGAUCGCUACUGCCACCAGAGCCCAAAAAGAAAUCAAAACCAGCAGCUCGAGGGCCAGGUUUAAGACGGCUUGGUUUUUGUUCACGAGCAGGAGAAGGUGGUUCAAAGAUAACGUCAGAAAUUCCAGAGCCCUGGGACUGGAGAUCUGAUGGAAUGCUCUUCCUUAAUUCUUCUGUCACGUGAUCAUAACGUUCUGCCAGAGAUCGGUACAUGCGGUAGAACUCCUCUACAUGAGAAAUCAAUUCUGGUCUCUUCUGAUAAUACAUCUCAGCCUUUUUAGCAAAUGAGUCUCCAUCCUCUUCAAUUAGCUUCAGCAUCCGCUUAACACUCUGGUCCAUCUCUGCAGUCAAGGAUCGUUUUCAUGAUCACAGGAACUCACUGUUUUGUGAUGCAAAAUACAAAGUUCAGAGAAAACAACUCCUGUUACAAAAACUCUGGGGGGUUCCGGAUUGACCAUGGCAAUCACUCAGGGUAUUCCCAUGUCGGAAACAAAAUAAAAAAUAAAAAUUCUUCAAGAGCAAAUGGCUAUCUUUAACUAGAGAAUACUCUAACCACUAUUCUUUUGGAGUGGUAAAAUAGAGGCAGACCCCAAAUAUAGGCACCAGACAACAGUAUUGACCAUGCAUGUCCUUUUAACACAUUUAUCUUGUCUCCGAGGAGCAUUUUACUUAAAUUUGCGAUUCCAAAGACGCGGCAAGACACCCUUAUUUGAUAAUCUGUUCCUAUUUCACAUUUGAUUCAUGCACAUUUCUGUUCUACCAACAAGUCCUUGAAUGAAAAGGGACAGCGAGAAAUCAGUAGCUCACCCUCAAGAUUCUCAGUAUGCCACUUGGAAUUUUUCGGACUGAUAUGACUAUCCCACCACCAGGAAUGUGAUUUUCUUGUUUGCAAUCCCUUGAAAUUCUUAGACGGGACCUGAAAUUCAUAAAAAGAGCACCAGUUACAAAACCAACUCACACUAAAUUUCUUAGACUGAUGAGAACAUUCAGCGGAACAGAUGAGACUGCAAAACUAGAGCCCAUCACCGAGGUCGAACAUAGGAAUUCAAUUGUUUGCUAAAACUAUUGGAAUAAGAAAAUCUGUUCUUACCAUCGGAGAAGCCAUUUCGGACGUUGAAGGGAAUGAUGCGGCGGUCCAAAAUAAACUGAUGUGGUAUUAUCAACAAACCUGCUGCACAGUUAUAAAGAUAGCUAUUACAUGUAGUCUUCAUGGUGAACAAAUAUCUCAACAACCAAUCCCCCCAAAACAAAACAACGUAGUUUUAAAACACAAAGUGCCGCCACUUGUUAAUAUUUCUACAAAUGCUUUUUAAUUAAAUUUUUUUAUUCAAACAAUUAAAAAACACUUUAAAAAAAUAUCAAUUUAAUAUCUCUUAUAUAAUUUAAAAAAACAAUUUAACCACAUAAACAAAAAUUAUCUAACUUUUAUAUAUAUAUAUAUAUAUAUAUAUAUAUAUAUAUAUAUAUAUAUAUAUAUGACAAAUAUAUACUACCACAUCUAUGUUUAUUGAAAUCCCUUCUUGUUUAAAAUGUUUUUAAAAAAUAUAUAUUAAAAUAAAAAAGAAUUAUUUUAAAAAAAUUAUUUUUAACAUCAAUGUAUUAAAAUAAUUUAAAAAUAUAAAGAAAUUAUUUUAAAUAAAAAAUUUUAAAAUAUUAAAAAAAUAAUAAUUUCAAACACGGAUCAUUGAGCCGACUUCAAUAAUAAGUGGGUGGAUAAAUGGUGUUAAUCCAAAAUGAUUUUUAAAGAAAAAGGAAAUUGAAAAGAUAAUGUUUUGAAAAAAAAUCAUACCGACAAGAAGUACAGCUCCUUUGUCUGAAAAUCACUAUACUCUGUAACAUUAAUUAAAAUAUUCCCUUAUUUGACGCCAAAAACACCAAAUACAAACAAAAAGAUCAACAUGUAGUAUUAGACGCAGAGAAUUGCGAAUACCAAAAUCCAAAAGGGUUUUUUCCUUUGUUUCUAUUUCGGUUAGAAAAAUAAAUUUUAUGAACUAACUAAGAAAAUUGAUAAGUUUUGUUGAUUUCUUCGGUAUUUUAAAGGGUUGUUUAUUUUAGUGGAAAUGGAAAGAUUGAAUCUUUAGAAUAUUCCACCAAAAACAGAGAGAAAAGAUUGAAUUUUUACAAUUGCAUUUGUUUCAGUAAUGAGGUGAAAAAAAGAAGCUGCAAAAUUCAAAAGGGUCACUGGUUUUUAAUGGCAGAAACUAAUAAUCUUCAAGUAGAGAUCAAAUCAAGCAAUCUAGUUAGCACAUCAACCACAACAUAUCAUGAUAUAAAUGAUCAGCUCAUACAAAUUGAAAAGGAUAAAAGAAGACUGAAUCCAUAGAAAAGAGAAGUAAACCAAAGCAGCAAAAGAAAGAGAGACUGGAACAAGGUAGAGCAUACAGAAGAGAAAGAAAGAGGCUUUCUUGUUUGCUGUUAUUGGAAAUCUCGAGGGAUGAUAAUUAGGGGCAUAUGCAGUAGUAGACUAGUGGUGAUGGAUGAUCAGUUUCAAAAGAAAGAAAGGAGGAAGUAAUAGAGACAAAUCUGAUGAAAUUAUUUGCCCACUCACAAGAACCACAACCCCACAACUACAACAGAGAGAGAGAGAGAGAGAGAGAGAGAGAUGUGAAGAGUUAUAUUACAUAACAAUGGAGGAAAAAUGGGAUAUAAUGGCUACCUUUUUUAAAAUCUGGUUUCCCACUUGAAUCUCCAUACAAGUCAAUGUACUUAAGCAAUUGCAGCACAUGGGAUUUAAUUUUUAAUUAAUGAUUUGAUUUUUCAUAAUCAAUUUAAUUUGAAAUAAUCGUGCAUAUGUACUUGAAAAUCUCAAAUUAUUCUAAACAAAUUUAUUUUAUACACCGAUCUCUGUUUUUUCUUUUCUUUUUUUAAUAGAUAGAAAAACUCUCAGAAUCUUGUACCAAAUCUAGUUGUUUCCCUGAAAUAAGAAUUGUUGUUUAAUUUCUCCUUGACUGCCAUCUAACUAUUUCUAAGUAAGACGUGUAGUUGGAUGGGAAGAUAUUGCUAAAAGAAUCGAUUAAGCAAACAAGAACAUGUCCUUAUUUUGGAUGCCGAAGGACGUGGCAAACUUUAUCUAUGAAGCGUGGAUUUUUUUUGGUGUGGUCAUUUUGACAAGCAAAAAGUGCAUACGGUAGCUUAGAUCAUGUUUGUUAGAGAGAACGACAGAGGGGAUCCGACGUAGGAAUAGGGUUAAUUACUGCAAAAAAAAAGAAAAAAAAAGCCCUUCUAUUCAAAUGGUUUUGAAAAAUGGGGUUCAGGAACCAAGAACGAUAGGAAGAAUUCAUAAGAAGAAAGUAUAACCUAAACAUUUUGGAUGAUGUUUGGGUUGGUGAGAAUGCUUAGUCGUCGGAGUUUUAUCCCUGUCUUCGUAAAUUAUCUAGUCAAAGAAAUAGUAUUCUGGGUAGUAUGAGGCCUUGGAUUGCUGGUUGCUGAAGAUAUAUGUAAUCUUUAAUGGAACCGAGAUAUUAGAAGCACCGCUUGACAGUUUAAUGGAGGUUAUUAAUCAAACCCAUUUGCACAAAGCAACAACUUGAAUCCACUCUUUCAACAACAGGUUCAGCUACAAUUCUCAAUCUUGCUACUUCAUUUUUCAUUUCCAUUGUUGUAUUACUUUUUUUCACUUCUUAAUUAUGCUGGGUUUUCAUCUACUAAAUGGCUAGCUUAAUAUAUAUAAUCUCUCCAAUUUCGUUAAUAAGAAUAAAAAAAAGUUCCUUUUCACAGUAAUUAGCGAGCCAUUUUGAUAUAGUUCCAUGAAAGUAUAAGAUAAUAAUUUGGGUUACUAAAUUUUUCUUGUUUAGUAAGAUCAUCUUAGUCAUAUUCGCAACGUCAUGAAGCAUGGUGGUCAAUUUAGAAGAGAAGAUCUCUAGAGAUGUCUCCCCAUGGAGUGGAAUAUGGCGAGAUGUUGAUGAUUUAUUGCUUUCGACUUUGUAACCGAAAAUAAAUGGAAGAAAGUCAAAAGGCCAGGGUUUCUCUUUGUCUUUAUCCUGCAAUCUGUACCUUCUGAAUCCAGCAAGAAUUUCUUAGCGAUGACUUCUUUGUUAUUUUUGCAGGAUGGUAUGCCAUUAUUGAAGCAGGAUGUAGAAUUAUACAAGUAAACAUCAAGAACCCAGCUUGCAGGCCUCUCUCUUUCCACUGCUAACCCUAUUAACUAAUUAAAAAUAUAAUAAUUAACACGCCAUUGCCAUCGAACUGCAUAUAUGGGCUCUCACACACAUAUGUACACAGCAUACACUUGUUCUGAUAUCACUUUUACGUUAGGUUAAUUAAGUUGUUGAGUAUAUCGAAUGCAUUUCACACCCAGGAAACGAGAAGGAAACUCCAUUAACAGGUGGCUUCAUCUCUGUUUGUCCCCACUGGCUUAUAUUAUAUAUACAAGAUGUAGUUGUGUGCCUUGGAGUUGGCAUGAUGGUAUUUAAUUAAUAGGAGAUAAGUUCAGUCAUUGCAAGUUUUCAGCUUCGCGUCACAUGGUUCUUAGAACUGCCCGUGUCUCGAGCCUUAAGUAUUCUUGCCGCAUGUUGUGCAUAGCUUGCAACCAUUGUAAUUGAGACAUGCAAGUCCAAUUGGUUAUAAUAUGCUUGUGUGUGUGUGAUGAGUUAAUCUAACUCAACCAAAAGAAGCCUGGCUGCUAAGAGUCUUGAAAGACUACAAGAAGUAAAAUCGAUGCCACGUCUGAAUUCUGCAGGUCAGCCCUUCCAAUUUCCAAACAGCUACCUUACAUUGUUGGUUUUAUAAUCUAGUUUGUCAAUGUAUUGUAGCUUCUUCCUUCAAAAAAUGGUGACCACACCACACAAGAAAAGGUACGUUUACCCAAAGACAAAUCACAUUAUGUCAAUAUCUCACAUGCUUGCAUAUCCUAAAUUAACCUUCACACCUGUUUCCAAGACAAAUAGCGGUAAUCCUUAUCAUCGACAUCCUACAAGAACCAAGACGAGUAUGCCAACUUGCAGAGCUUUAGUGGUUGUGGUUGAGGUUGGUUUAACCAGUGUUUUAAAACCCGGACCGGCCUGGCGGGUCGAUCCAGGACCCGGCCGACCCGGGCCUGGGACCGGUCCGGGUGAAGGCAAAAACCCGCUCGGGAAUUGGCCCGGGGAAAACCCGGUCGACCCGGAGGGUCGACCCGGGACCCGGUCCACCCGGUCAAACCCGGGUGAGACCCGGUCAAUUUUUUUUUUAUUUUGACUGUCAUUAAACGACGUCGUUUUUAGCUUUCAAAAUGACAAAACGCUGAAGACUAAAGAAAGACUGAAGAAGAGCGAAGCAAAAUCAUUAAAUCAGUAACCUAAUUCCUCUUUGAAACCCAGCUGAGGAGCUGAGGAGCAGGGGACGUCGACGUCUGACCAUUGAUCGCGAAAAAGGUUUGAAUCUCCUUCUUUCACUCUUUGUUUUCUUUAUUCUUGGCCGUUUUCUCAUUUCUGGCAUCAAUUUCAAUUUCAGAACUCUCAACUGAUCUGCUGCCAUCGAGCCCAAUCGCUGCCAUCGAUUCAUUGUUCGUUGAUUCAUUCGCAGCCCAGUCACCUCAGGUAUGUUUCUCUAGCUCGAUUUCUGUCUUUUCUUCUGCCAGUCAACUCAAUUUCUCUAGCCCGAUUUCAACUUCUGUCAAAAAAAUAAGAACUCUGUUGUUUGCAUGAUGAACUCUAGAAUGCUGUUACUGAUUUUGUUGUUACUGAACUCUCUAGCCCGAUUCGUUGUUCGUUGAUUCUUUUGAUGCUGUUACUGUGUUACCAUGAUUUGGCAGUGAAAAAACGUUGUGUGGAGGUGUCUAAAGAUUGUAAGGUUUAGCUUAUAAUUUGGAAAUAUAUGUAAAGAUUAUGCUGUUUAAUGUUUAUGACUGUUUUAUGAACAAGAUUAUGACAGUGUAUUGUGUGGAAUUGGAUUGUUAGUUUGUUACAAUUGUGUUUAAUUACACGCCAAAAAAGGCUGCUAGCUUGUUACAAAGGAAGUUUAAUGAAUAACAGAGGUUAAGAUUGAUAGAAAAGAGUUUGAGGCCAUCAAUCAGCACUCGCGAAAAUAUAUUCUACGUUGUAGCUGUGAUCAUAUAGGUAUAGUGUGAGUGUUUGUAACUAUAUUUGUAGCAUUUCAAGCACCUGCUUUGGUUUAUGAACAAGCAUCCCUAACAUUUGCUUUUAAAGUUUGGUGAUUAUUGAUGGUUUGAGCUCUGCAGUGCUUGAUCUUUCCUUUCAUGAGCCGUAAAUAACCCUGUGUUCCAUUGACAAUCUUGCUUUCUGGUUCAGGUACCAGAUAUAAUUGACAUAUGCAUAUGUUAGGGAUGCUUGACCUUCGCGUGAUUGCUGAAGGCAGUAAAAACGAGCAAGAAAUGUCUGUUUGUGGUGUAGGAAAGGUAGUCCCCCAUGUAAGUGAAUGCUGAGCCUGCUUCGUCUUUGAUUGCAUUUGCCAUCUCCCUCAUAUAUAGGCAGUCCCCUCUUUUUCUGCUUUGUAUUGCUCGGACGAUUGAACAUCCAAUUGUACUGUCGUUUUGAUUUUAACAUCCAAUUGUUCCAUUUACUGAUUUUCCCAGUAUGCUGCUCCAUUCUUGGGCAUGUAUGCAUGUCCUUUCACUCAGACAUUGAAAGCUGAGGAUGGUCGAGUUAAGUGAGUUGUCUUCAAGUAUAUCGGAGUUGGAUUGUAUAUAUUUGCGAAUACAGUUAGGCUUCCUUUUAAGUGUGAUUCUGCAUGAACUUGUUUUCCAGAUGCAUCAUUGAUCUAGCUCAUAAAGGUUUUUUUUUUGGGUUGACCCGGGUCAACCCAUCUGACCCGUGACCCGAUCACUUGACCGGGUCGAUGACCGGGUCGGGUUUCAAAACUAUGGGUUUAACCCAAUCAUAUACAAAACUCAACCACAAAAGUUAAUUUUUCUAGUUUUUUGGUGGAUCCCACAUACAAAACUCAACCUCAACUACAAAAACCAAGCACACACGAUUUCAUUAAUCAGUCAUCAUACAAGAACCAAGAAGAUUGAAUAAACAAUUGAAGCUGAAGGAAAUUAGUCCAAGAAUAUUCAAGCGCUGCUAGAGAGUAGCUAGCUAGGUGAGAAUUUCCAGUUGGGGAGGUGGGAGGUGGGCUAAAAUGAACGAGGAGGCAGGACUUCAAAAACCGCACUUUGUUCUAGUCCAUGGAGCAUGCCAUGGAGCCUGGUGCUGGUACAAGAUCAGGUGUCUCAUGGAAACAUCUGGCUAUAAGGUCACAUGCCUAGACCUUAAAAGUGCUGGUAUUGAUCAGUCCAAUCCCAACACGAUCCUCACUUUGGAUGAGUACAAUGCACCCCUUAUCGACUUCUUGUCGAAUUUGCCACACGAUGAAAAGGUAAACUAACUAAAAGCUUCUGUCAACUAUAAGCGAUUGAUUUUUAUGGGAUGCUUGCUUGCUUCGCUGUAUAUAUGUAGGUUAUAUUGGUAGGACAUAGUGCAGGAGGUUUGAGCUUGACAGACGCUAUACACAGAUUUCCUAAGAGAAUUCAUCUGGCUAUUUAUGUUGCUGCCAACAUGUUGAAGCAUGGCUUCUCUUCAGAUCAAGAUUUCAAAGAUGUAAGAAAUUUCUUAAUCACUUCUCUUAUUUGCUAGUGGCCUUGAUAAUUUGAUCAAGUUAGAUCAUGAGGUGUUUUGUGCUAUAUUCCUCGUUCCAGUUGAUAGGCUAUAAUUGUCUUUCCCGGCUGAAGCUUGUAUCAGCAAAUCCUCCAUGUCUUCCAAUUCUGAUGACUGCAAUUGUUAGUGCUUGUUUGUAAUUUUCAAAAUCUCUUAUAAUUUGUCUUGCAUUCCUGAUGACAUCUUGCAUGCUUUCACCCCUUGGAGAUUAAUCUAAGAUCAUUUUAGCAUCUAAAGGGCCUAAUUCAUGCCUCUCUCUCUGUAUAUGUAUAUGUAUGUAUAUAUAUAUAUAUAUAUAUGGAUCGAGCAGGGUGACCCUGAUGUAUCUGAGUACGGAGAGAUAGCUGAUUUAGAAUACGGGAUGGGUCUAGAUGAGCCUCCAACAAGUGUCAUAAUAAAGGAGGAGUUCCGGAAACGAAUUCUCUAUCAAAUGAGCCCUAAAGAGGUAUAUAUUGAUUUAUUUCGAGUCUUUUGACACUAGUAGCUAGCAUGAUUGCAUCUCUUAACAAUCCCAGCCCCUUGAUUAUUGGUUUUGGACCAAGUCGAUCAGGACUCCAUAUUAGCAUCAAUGCUACUGCGAGCAGGGCCUGUCAGGGCAUUCAAAGGUGCUCGAUUUGAGGGAGGAAAGGAUGCUGAUUCUGUUCCACGAGUAUAUAUUAAGACAUUGCACGAUCACAUUCUAAGACCAGUGCAGCAAGAGGCAAUGAUAAAGAGAUGGCAACCUUGUCAAGUUUUUGAAUUGGAGAGUGAUCACAGCCCUUUUUUCUCUGCCCCAUCUUUGCUUUUCGAAGUAAUAGUCAAAGCAGCAGCCACCAUCACUUGUAACUGAUAUUUUAUUUCUUACUUCAUUGAAACUUUUAUAAAUCUGGACUAUUUAUAGAGCUCGACAAGAGUUUUAAUUGGUUAUGAUAUGCUUGUGACUGUGUGUGUGUGUGAUAAGUUAAUCGAACUCCACCAAAAGAAGCCUAGCUACUAAGAGUCUUGAAAGACUAAGAAAAGUAAAAUCGAUGCCAUAUCUGAAUUCUGCAGGGCAGCCCCUCCCAGUUUCCAAACACAGCUAGCUUAAUUUGUUGGUUCUAUAGAAAAUUUACCUUAAUUUUCUUCUAAGUUUAGGGUUUAUAACCUUGUAAGUUGUGUCUCAAUUAAUGCCAGUAUUCUCUCCUCUCGAUCAGAUUAUCUCAAACUCGAACCUCUUUGCUGUGAUAAAAAUUAGCUCGUAGACGUCCAAGUUAAGCGCAAAAAAGAAAAAGAAAAAAAAAGUGGAAGCCCUGGAUUCUUUGGCUGGGCUGCUCGUGCAUUAAUACAAAUUUAUUUUGUUGCGUGAAUGAAAGAGUGGGGUAGGAUUUCCACUCAGCAGUUGGGUGAAAGAUUAACGAGGAAUGGACAUGCAGAAAUAAAUUCUCUCAAACAAGGUGUUCUGAUAUCUGACAGUACUCCAUGCACUUCAUUAAUAGAGAAGAAUAGCAGCAGCAGCCAGCCUCAGCCCCUAGCUCCAUGCCUCUCCCUUGACCCUCCUUUUGUUCACUUUGGUGCAGAGCUCUGCCUCCUCUGAUGAGUACUUGCCUUGGAAAAAAUGAGACCUCGAGGCCAGCCAGCCAACUCAUAGAACAGUCGGAGAAAUUAAGCUCCCUGCCUUUGCCUCUUUUUUUAUAUAUAUAUAUUAUUAACAUGGAUAUCUGGGUCAGCUUGUACACACCUCUACUAAUCUCAUGAGCCGUGAAGUUAAUGACCAUGUAAGCCUCCAAUGAUCCUAGGGUUUGUAAAACUCGAACUAGUAACUUCUAAAAAACAAAUCUAGAACCUAACUAGUUUAGCUACACCUUUUAAGUUGUCUUUACCUUUAUAUAUAUAUAUAUAUAUAUAUAUAUAUAUAUAUAUAUAUAAUUCGUGUAUGCAUUAAACAAUUUUUAUAUUUUAUUUAUUUUUAAUACACACGAGAUACAGAUCUUCUUUAAUGUGUGGAGGGAAAGUGAGAGAGUAGAUGCCAAUCAGACGGAGCUAGAGGGGUUGCUGCCACNNNNNNNNNNNNNNNNNNNNNNNNNNNNNNNNNNNNNNNNNNNNNNNNNNNNNNNNNNNNNNNNNNNNNNNNNNNNNNNNNNNNNNNNNNNNNNNNNNNNUUUUAUAUAUAUAUAUAUAUAUAUAUAUAUAUAUAUAUAUAUAUAUAUAUAUAUGUUAAAAGCUAAUUAAAUAGACAUAAAAUGAUAUGAAGAUAUUAUUUAUUGAAGCUCUUCAAAAAUAAGAAAAAAAAACCAUGUCAUAAAAGAAGAAUAUUUAUUUUUACUACAUAGUUAACUUUGGGAUUUAAUAAAAACUAAUAACUUGAUUAAUUGAUAAUCUCAAAAACACAACAAAUUAAAAUUAAUUCAACAAAUAUAAAAAUUAAAACAAGUACAAAUGAACUAGGGGUGUUCACGGUCCGGUUCGGUCCGGUUUUAACAUAAAAAAUCAACCGAACCGGAAAAUACUAUUCCUUGUUAAUAUAACCCGAACCGAACCGAGAACCGGUUCAAACCGAACCGGUUUUGUUCGGGUCGGGUCGGUUUUUUAGCCUUAGAAACCAGAAAAACCGAAACCAAUUAAAUAAGAGAAAACUUGGCCGAAUCACAAUCACUAGACAAACUUGGCCGAAUCACAUUCAAAAAAAUCGUUGUUGAAAACUUUGAAUCCAAGCCCUUCGGUUAAGAUCUGAAAGAUCUCUUUUAGCUGAAUCACAAUCACUAGAUCUAUCCAAGCAAGCACAACUACAUGUUAACAAAGAUUCCAAUAACAUCCUGCAAAGGCGCAAAUUACCGGGACCUUGCUAGCACAAAUGCAUGUUAAUAAAACCAGAAACAAGGAUUUUAUCCAAGUUUUCUGCCAUAAAGUAAAGCAGAGAGUAGAAAGGCAACAAUAUGAGAGAAAAUGAGUUACUUUAAGCCUUCCUUGUGCACAGAGGAGAGAGAGAGAGGG
rnacentral:lncRNA from 1 species